rnacentral:rRNA from 1 species
AGGACGAACGCUGGCGGCGCGCUUAACACAUGCAAGUCGAACGUGAAGCUGGAGCUUGCUCCGGUGGAAAGUGGCGAACGGGUGCGUAACACGUGAGCAACCUGCCCCGAAGACUGGGAUAACACCGGGAAACCGGUGCUAAUACCGGAUACCUUCUUCCGAUCGCAUGGUUGGAUGAAGAAAUGGAUUCCGCUUCGGGAUGGGCUCGCGGCCUAUCAGCUUGUUGGUGAGGUAACGGCCCACCAAGGCGACGACGGGUAGCUGGUCUGAGAGGACGACCAGCCACACUGGGACUGAGACACGGCCCAGACUCCUACGGGAGGCAGCAGUGGGGAAUCUUGCUCAAUGGGCGAAAGCCUGAAGCAGCGACGCCGCGUGCGGGAUGAAGGCCCUCGGGUUGUAAACCGCUUUCAGCAGGGACGAAAUUGACGGUACCUGCAGAAGAGGCCCGGCAACUACGCGCCAGCAGCCGCGGUAA